AGAGUUUGAUCCUGGCUCAGGACGAACGCUGGCGGCGUGCCUAACAAAUGCAAGUCGAGCGGAGAUUGCAGCAAUGCAAUCUUAGCGGCGGACGGGUGAGUAACGCGUGGGCAACCUGCCUUGUACAGGGGGAUAACACCGGGAAACUGGUGCUAAUACCGCAUAACAUCACUAUAGGACAUCCUAUGGUGAUCAAAGGAGCAAUCCGGUAUAAGAUGGGCCCGCGUCCGAUUAGCUAGUUGGUGAGGUAACGGCCCACCAAGGCGACGAUCGGUAGCCGAACUGAGAGGUUGAUCGGCCACAUUGGGACUGAGACACGGCCCAGACUCCUACGGGAGGCAGCAGUGGGGAAUAUUGCACAAUGGAGGAAACUCUGAUGCAGCAACGCCGCGUGAAGGAUGAAGGUUUUCGGAUUGUAAACUUCUUUGAUCGGGGACGAAGAAUGACGGUACCCGAGGAACAAGCCACGGCUAACUACGUGCCAGCAGCCGCGGUAAUACGUAGGUGGCAAGCGUUGUCCGGAAUUACUGGGUGUAAAGGGCGUGUAGGCGGGGAUGCAAGUCAGAUGUGAAAUUCCAUGGCUCAACUGUGGGACUGCAUCUGAAACUGUGUUUCUUGAGUGCUGGAGAGGAAAGCGGAAUUCCUAGUGUAGCGGUG
rnacentral:rRNA from 1 species